AAUCUCUAGAAAUGUUUUCCGCGUUGGACCGCACACAAGUCUGUUGGAAUACAGCGGCAUAGUGGUGAGACCCCCGUAUAUGGUGCGGACGCCCAGCGCUUUGUGAUACAUUUUCGAAGAGUCGAGUUGUUUGGGAAUGCAGCUCAAAUUGGGUGGUAAAUUCCAUCUAAAGCUAAAUAUUGGCGAGAGACCGAUAGCGAACAAGUACCGUGAGGGAAAGAUGAAAAGCACUUUGGAAAGAGAGUUAACAGUACGUGAAAUUGUUGGAAGGGAAACGCUUGAAGUCAGACUUGCUUGCCGAGCAAUCGGUUUGCAGGCCAGCAUCAGUUUUCCGGGAUGGAUAAUGGUAGAGAGAAGGUAGCAGUUUCGGCUGUGUUAUAGCUCUCUGCUGGAUACAUCUUGGGGGACUGAGGAACGCAGUGUGCCUUUGGCGGGGGUUUCGACCUCUUCACACUUAGGAUGCUGGUGGAAUGGCUUUAAACGACCCGUC
rnacentral:rRNA from 1 species